rnacentral:rRNA from 2 species
UAGGGAAUCUUCGGCAAUGGACGAAAGUCUGACCGAGCAACGCCGCGUGAGUGAAGAAGGUUUUCGGAUCGUAAAACUCUGUUGUUAGAGAAGAACAAGGACGUUAGUAACUGAACGUCCCCUGACGGUAUCUAACCAGAAAGCCACGGCUAACUACGUGCCAGCAGCCGCGGUAAUACGUAGGUGGCAAGCGUUGUCCGGAUUUAUUGGGCGUAAAGCGAGCGCAGGCGGUUUCUUAAGUCUGAUGUGAAAGCCCCCGGCUCAACCGGGGAGGGUCAUUGGAAACUGGGAGACUUGAGUGCAGAAGAGGAGAGUGGAAUUCCAUGUGUAGCGGUGAAAUGCGUAGAUAUAUGGAGGAACACCAGUGGCGAAGGCGGCUCUCAGGUCUGUAACUGACGCUGAGGCUCGAAAGCGUGGGGAGCAAACAGG